rnacentral:rRNA from 1 species
UACAGAGGGUGCAAGCGUUAAUCGGAAUUACUGGGCGUAAAGCGUGCGCAGACGGUUGCGUAAGUCAGAUGUGAAAGCCCCGGGCUCAACCUGGGAAUUGCAUUUGAGACUGCGUAGCUAGGGUGCGGAAGAGGGAAGCGGAAUUUCCGGUGUAGCGGUGAAAUGCGUAGAUAUCGCCUGGAACGCCGAAGGUGAAAACAGUCUGCUGGGGGCGUGCCGACGCUGAGACACGAAAGCCAGGGGAGCGAACGGG